rnacentral:rRNA from 1 species
GACGAACGCUGGCGGCGUGCUUAACACAUGCAAGUCGAACGGAAAGGCCUCUUUCGGGGGGUACUCGCGUGGCGAACGGGUGAGUAACACGUGAGUAACCUGCCCUUUACUUUGGGAUAACUUCAGGAAACUGGGGCUAAUACCGGAUAGGAGCUCCUGCUGCAUUGUGGGGGUUGGAAAGUUUCGGCGGUUGGGGGUGGACUCGCGGCUUAUCAGCUUGUUGGUGGGGUAGUGGGUUACCAAGGCUUUUACGGGUAUCCGGCCUGGGAGGGUGACCGGCCACAUUGGGACUGAGAUACGGCCCAGACUCCUACGGGGGGCAGCAGUGGGGAAUAUUGCACAAUGGGUGGGAGCCUGAUGCAGCAACGCCGUGUGCGGGAUGACGGCCUUCGGGUUGUAAACCGCUUUCGCUCAUGACGAAGCUUUGUGUGACGGUAGUGGGUAAAGAAGCACCGGCUAACUACGUG